rnacentral:tRNA from 2 species
CAAGAAAAGGUCAGGAUAGCUCAGUUGGUAGA